UACGUAGGGGGCGAGCGUUGUCCGGAUUUAUUGGGCGUAAAGAGCGUGUAGGCGGCCAGGUAGGUCUGCUGUGAAAACUCGAGGCUCAACCUCGAGACGUCGGCGGAAACCAUCUGGCUAGAGUCCGGAAGAGGAGAGUGGAAUUCCUGGUGUAGCGGUGAAAUGCGCAGAUAUCAGGAGGAACACCGGUGGCGAAGGCGGUUCUCUGGGCAUGAUCUGACGUGAGGAGCGAAAGUGUGGGGAGCGAACCGG
rnacentral:rRNA from 1 species